rnacentral:snRNA from 1 species
AUCUUUGUGCAGUGGCAGUAUCAUAGUCAAUGAGGUUUAUUUGAGGCGUGAUUAUUGCUAAUUGAAAACUUUUCCCAAUAUCCUGCCAUGAAGACUUGAAAUGUAGUUGGCACUGGCAAUUUUUGACAGUCUCUACUGAGA